GCAGCUAUAUGAUGUUGAAACAUUGGUUCUCAUACGAUCACCAAAGUUAAGCAAUAUCAAGCCUGGUCAGUACCUAGAUGGUGACACCUUGUGAAUACCAGGUGCUGUAAG